rnacentral:rRNA from 1 species
CAGCCCUAAACGAUGCGCGUUAGGUGUAUCGGUGACCACGAGUCACCGAGGUGCCGAAGGGAAACCGUGAAACGUGCCGCCUGGGAAGUACGGUCGCAAGGCUGAAACUUAAAGGAAUUGGCGGGGGAGCACCACAACGGGUGGGGCCUGCGGUUUAAUUGGACUCAACGCCGGGAAGCUCACCGGAUAAGACAGCGGAAUGAUUGCCGGGCUGAAGACCCUGCAUGACCAGCUGAGAGGAGGUGCAUGGCGUAGUCGUGU